rnacentral:lncRNA from 1 species
AACUGAAGCACAAAUCUGAGCCCAAGAUUUGGCCUCCAGAAGUCUGAACUUCUUCUGUCGUCGGUCACCACAUCUCCUGCUCUGAAAUGCACAGAGAAGCCAUGGGAGGAGCCAAAGAGGAAACCACCACCAUUAGCAAAAACCGAGAGGUCUCAGCUUCUGCUGAAGACAGGAUUGAAAACAGACAGAAUUAGAGGAGGCAUCAGCAGGGGCUACUAACCCCUCCCCCACCUGACAACCACUGUGUUCACAACCGGGGUCAAACAGAAAAUUCUAACCUAUCUCUCCCUCCCUUCGAAAAGUAGUCAGAGGAAAAGGAACCAAUGGACUGGGUAGGCGAAAUGAGUAAAGAUUAAAAUCUCCCCCCCUGGGGGGGGGCAGGAAGUGUCAGAAAGAAAUUAAGAUCUGGAAUAACCUGUCCAAGAAGGACAGACAGCUGUCCGGUGACUGGAUGGUCUUUGCUACAGAACAUCUAACAAACUCUCCAAGGAAAGUGUGAAGUUCAGACCUUCUAUCUGGCCUGCAAGUUACUCCAACCUCCAAAGCAGCCUCUACCUCUACCAGGCUUGCCUGGGAAUGCAUAGCUGUAAGCUGCAAUCCCAGAACUGGGAGGUGAAGGAAAGAGGAAAGAGAUGCAAAUUAAAAAAAAAAAAACAA